AGCUGCACUCCCGUUCUCUAUGUACCCUUCUCCCCAAAGUGUGCACUCGUUCAAACCCCUCAUGAGUUUUUAAAAGUACUGGAUUGGUGUAAGAAAUAGGAUGGGAACUCCCUUGAGCACAUGCUUAAAUCAAUUCAAUGCUUGAAGAACCAAUCCACGAAGGGAGUGCACACUUCAUGUUAGGUCAUUGGAAUGCAUGUCUGGACUUGCUCCACCACCACAUGUUACAUUUCAACACCAUACACAUAGCUUGUAUUAAUUCUUAGUUAGUGAUCUGUUGAAGUGCAUUCCACAGAAGAAAGGAUUAACUCCUGGAAAGAUUUAGAGCAAAGGACCACAGUCAGACAAGGUUAAAUCAAGCUAAAAGUAAACUCAUGGAUGUUCCUAGAACACAACUACUAAGCAAGCACAAAAGCCCUAGAGCCAGACCUCGUAUCCAACAGGCCACUCACUACCUACACCCCACAAAGUCCAGAACUACUGGACAUCAUCAAAAAAACAUUGGCAUAUUCUACGCUCAGACACAGCUCUAGGUAAUACAUUCCAGCAGCUUCCUACCAUAGAGCUGAAAACAUUGAAGACCGUGUUGUCUGAUCUGACAUCAGCCAACAAGACCAUCCUCCUGCAUAUUCCCCCUGGCAACUACAAGUGAGAAUUUACUUAAUGCUAGUACACCAGUGGAGCCUCCUCAGAGGAGGAAGGAGAAGACUAUCUUCAGUGAAUUUCAUAGAAAUUGUAAGACAUUAAAAAAGUUAUCCUUUUUAGAUAAAACUAUACUAAAUAUAUUUACGUCACCAAAUAAUUGAUUAAAACACACUGUUUUGCAAUGGACUACAGUAGCCUCCACAGCACUCUGUAGGGUAGCACCAUGGUGUAGCCGGAGGACAGCAGGCUUCCGUCCUCUUGGUACGUUGGCUUUUGGUUCUUGGUUCUCAACCCCUUCCAUAGACUUACACAGUAAUUAUGACACCUUCCAGAGGACGUCCUCCAACCUAUCUGAUCUCUUGCAGCAGGAACUGACAUGUUGUCCAUCCAAUCAAAGGAUCAGAGAAUUAAUGAAUCUCGUACUGAAAGCUACAGCUUGCUAGCUAGCGCGCACAUUUUUUUUUCCUCCCUGGUUUACUUCGUUUUUAUUAUUUUUUGCCUAGUCACAUACAGCUGUGUUGUUCAUUGAAGUCCACAAACAAAGGGAAAUGGGGUGAGGCGGAGUGUGCAUAGAGGCUAGAAUGAAUACAACGUGGCUGCUAUAAAAGUGAACUGUGUUUAUGCGUGAUCAGGGGUGUACUCAUUCUGCUGACUGUUGAAAAACAUUUCUUAAACCGACGCAAUCGAAACGGGGAUAAAAAAAGAAUACCUGAAUUUGUCCAAUAGAAACUCUCGUUUGCAACUGUUGGACGAAAGAUUACACCCUAGAUAAACUAGAUGAAGGCAAGUGUGUGCAAGGCGGUAUUGAAUGUGUCACUGUCAUCUCAAAUUUUCUCUCGACCUGUGUGCACCUACUUUGUAAACAUAGUUGAAGUCGGAAGUUUACAUACAGCUCAGCCAAAUACAUUUAAACUCAGUUUUUCACAAUUCCUGACAUUUAAUCCUAGUAAAAAUUCCUUGUCAGUUAGGACCACCUAACUGAAUGUGAAAUGUCAGAAUAAUAGAGUGAUUUAUUUCAUCACAUCCCCCAUGGGUCAGCAGUUUACAUGCACUCAAUUAGUAUUUGGUAGCAUGGCCUUAUAAAUUGUUUAACUUAGGUCAAACGUUUCGGGUAGCCUUCCAUGAGCUUCCCACAAUAAGUUGGAUGAAUUUUGGCCCAUUCCUCCUGACAGAGCUGGUGUAACUGAGUCAGGUUUGUAGGCCUCCUUGCUCUCACACGCUUUUUCAGUUCUGCCCACAAAUUUUCUAUGGGACUGAGGUCAGGGCUUUCUGAUGGCCAUACCAAUACCUUGACUUUGGAAGUAUGCUUGGGGUCAUUGUCCAUUUGGAAGACUCAUUUGCGACCAAGCUUUAACUUUAACUGAUGUCUUUGCUUCAAUAUAUCCACAUAAUUUUCCUUUCUCAUGAUGCCAUUUAUUUUGUGAAGUGCACCAGCCCCUCAUGCAGCAAAGCACCCCCACAACAUGAUGCUGCCACCCCCGUGCUUCACGGUUGGGAUGGCGUUCUUCGGCUUGCAAGCAUCCCCCUUUUUCCUCCAAACAUAACGAUGGCCAUUAUGGCCAAACAGUUCUAUUUUUGUUUCAUCAGACCAGAGGACAUUUCUCCAAAAAGUACGAUCUUUGUCCCCAUGUGCAGUUGAAAACCGAAGCAGUGGCUUCUUCCUUGCUGAACGGCCUUUCAGGUUAUGUUUGUAUAGGACUCGUUUUACUGUGGAUAUAGAUACUUUUGUACCUGUACCUUCACAAGGUCCUUUGCUGCUGUUCUGGGAUUGAUUUGCACUUUUCGCACCAAAGUCUGUUCAUCUCUAGGAGACGGAACGCGUCUCCUUCCUGAGGUGUAUGACCGCUGCGUUGUCCCAUGGUGUUUAUACUUGCGUACUAUUGUUUGUAUAGAUGAAUGUGGUACCUUCAGGCGUUUGGAAAUUCUCCCAGGGAUGAAUCAGACUUGUGGAGGUCUACCAUUUUUUUUCUGAUGUCUUGGCUGAUUUCUUUAGAUUUUCCGACUUCAACUGUACAUUCAUAGGCUAGGUUGUAGCAACCUCAUGAUGGGUAAAGGGAAAUUUGAGUAUCAUGUAGUAACCUAAACCUAUUGAUGUUACCUUGAAUGAGGUGAAUGGAAUUUGAAUGACAGUCAUCCAACAUGCUGUACUAGAAAUAAGGCCAUGUUCACUAAGAGAAAAUCGUGUCAUAUUUUGGUUAACCUGUUGCGACGAGCCAUCCCGGAUCCAGGAUCGUGAAUACAGCCUCAAGCUCAUCACCAUAACGCAACGUUAACUAUUCAUGAAAAUCGCAAAUGAAAUGAAAUCAAUAUGCUAGCUCUCAAGCUUAGAUUUUUGUUAACAACACUCAUCUCAGAUUUUCAAAAUAUGCUUCUCAACCAUAGCAAAACAAGCAUUUGUGUAACAGUAUUGAUAGCUAGCGUAGCAUUUAGCGUUAGCAUUUAGCGUUAGCAUUCAGCAGGCAACAUUUUCCACAAAAACCAGACAAGCAUUCAAAUAAAAUCAUUUACCUUGUUUUCAAUGAGACUCUCAGUUAGAUAGGCAAUGUUAUUUGUGUUGACAAAUCGCUCCGUUUUCUUAAUGUUUGGGUAAGAAAAAAAACGAAAAUUAAGUCAUUAAAACGCAAUCUUUUUUCCAAAUUAACUCCAUAAUAUCGACAAACAUGGCAAACCGAUGUUUAGAAUCAAUCCUCAAGGUGUUUUUCACAUAUCUAUCGACGAUAAAUCCAUCGUGGCAGUUGACUUUUUCUUCUGAAGAAAUGGAGCGCGCAUGGACCUAAAGAUUACGCAAUCAUUUCGACACAGGACACCGGGCGGACACCUGGUAAAUGUAGUCUCUAUUGGUCAAUCUUCCAAUGAUAUGCCUACAAAUACGUCACAAUGCUGCAGACACCUUGGAGAAACGACACAAAGGGCAGGCCCAUUCCUGGCGCAUUCACAGCCAUAUAAGGAGACAUUGGAACACAGCGCCUUCAAAAUCUGGGCCAUUUCCUGUUUGAAAUUUCAUCUUGGUUUCGCCUGUAGCAUCAGUUCUGUGGCACUCACAGAUAAUAUCUUUGCGGUUUUGGAAACGUCAGUGUUUUCUUUCCAAAUCUGUCAAUUAUAUGCAUAGUCGAGCAUCUUUUCGUGACAAAAUAUCUUGUUUAAAACGGGAACGUUUUUUAUCCCAAAAUUAAAAGAGCGCCCCCUAUCUCGAAGAAGUUAAACUAUCCCCAAUUCAAUGGAAUUGCAACCCUCUGCAUGCACAGUGCAUUCUUCCAUCACAUGUGCAGUGCACUCUUCCAUCACAUGUACAGCUGAUUCUCAAGGUCUUGCACACUAAGGAGAUGCUAUUGAGCCCACACUACUACACUGUCUGAGCCAAGGACUACAUGCUUUCUGGUGAGUUUUGAUUAGAAUACUGGGUGGGGUGAAUAUAUUUUAUGACAUGAUUUUAUGUUAACUAGUAAAUAGUAGCCUACAGCAAAGUGUGUUCAAAUCAUUUCUAACUUGUUAACAAUUCCUACUAGUUAGUUUUUGCUACCAUGUGCGUUUUAGCUUGCUUGAGCCUGCUAUCUGAGUGUUAAUUCACCUGUUUCCCUACGUUUCAUUUUAGCAUUUAUCUUACAAAGGAGUUGUUUAAUCUAAUUGUUUAACUAUUUAUCUGUACACGGAAUUGUAUUUUUAACCUUUUUUCCCUUCUAAUCUUUACAGGAAAAUGCCACGGGCUCUAUCUGAUGUGUGGAGACAUUUCACUGCAGCUAAUGUAGAAGGAAAAGCUGUGUACAUUUGAAAAUACUGUGCCAAAUCAUAUGUGAAGAAUGCAACAAAGAUGCAGAAUCAUCUGGCCAAGUGCAUAAAGUUCCCUCAGCGCUCACAACAAGCAUUAUCUGACAAAAGUCCCUCUACUUCUAUUCGAGGUGAAAAUGAUGAAUCAGACACCUUAUCGAUAGCAACUACUCAUGGUCCUCCUGGAAGUUUUGACUCAAUGGAGGAACGUAGUCAGAGAAAUGCUGAUGAAUGUCUUGCUCGAACUGUGUAUGCAACUGGUUCACCUCUGAUGCUCACAGGCAAUGUGUACUGGAAAAGAUUUCUGAAUGUUCUUCGCCCAGCAUACACCCCUCCAACCAGACAUGAUUUAUCUACUAAUUUGCUGGAUGCAGAGUUCAACAGGGUUCAUGUGAAGGGUCAAGCAAAUCAUAGAGAUAGCUGACUGUAUUGCAAUCAUCUCUGAUGGGUGGUCGAAUGUUCAUGGCAAGGAAUAACUCCCAUCUCCACCCCUCAACCAGUAUUCUACAAGGGACAACAGACACACCGGUCUCUAUAUUGCAGACCAGUUGAAGGCAGUCAUCAAUGACCUUGGACCACAGAAGGUAUUUGUCAUCAAGUUGGUGACAGACAAUGCUGCGAACAUGAAGGCUGCUUGGUCUAAAGUGGAGGAGUCCUACCCUCACAUCACACCCAUUGGCUGUGCUGCUCAUGCAUUGAAUCUGCUCCUCAAGGACAUCAUGGCACUGAAAACAAUGGAUCCACUCUACAAGAGCCAAGGAAAUGGUUAGGUAUGUGAAGGGUCAUCAAGUUAUAGCAGCAACCUAUCUCACCAAGCAAAGUGAGAAGAAUAAGAGCACCACAUUGAAGCCGCCCAGCAACACCCGUUGGGGUGGUGUUGUCAUCAUGUUUGACAGUCUCCUGGAGGGGAAGGAGUCUCUCCAAGAAAUGGCCAUAUCACAGUCUGCCGAUAUGGACAGCCCCAUUAAGAAGAUCCUCCUGGAUGAUGUAUUUUGGGAGAGAGUGCAACGUAAUCCAGAGGUACGGCACGUCGACCUGGAGAUUCUAUAACACUACGACUCUACGCGGGGAAGUUGUGCUACAGCAAGGAGGAACUCGGGAGAAGAGCCAAGCCGACCUCUGCACUCUGCCACCAAUCUCCCUCCCAUCCUCUCCAACCAACUCAUCAAGAAGUCUUACUGUAGAAUAGUCCUGCAUCACAUAAGCACCAGACACAGGUGCUGGCACAGUGAUUUAAUUUUUUCCAUGCCUUUCUAUGUUGAUUUAACCAUGCCGUUAUGAGGGUUUGACCGGAAACGGAGAUAUCAAAGACCCAAGGCAUACCAGGUGUGGCAGUGAAGACUGAGCUCUCAGAACUGUCUUGAAGUUGGACGUGGUCAUAGUGCGUUGUCACUCUCAGGCAGUGGAUGUACUGCCUUUGAAUAUAGUUUUCGUUUAUAGACUUUUGUUCACUCUGAAUAGUUCAAAGACAUGAUUUUUUUACUGAAUUGUUUUACUUCACGCAGAAACGUCAAACUGACCAGUAUCACUAAGCAGUUAUACAUAAAGCUUAUGAAUCUACAUAGAACCACACUCUCGCUGCAACAAUUCCCUUAUGAAUGCAAAUAAUUAUACAAGUACACUUAACAAAAGCAGCAUGGAAGAGUUUUCUUGAGUAUAAGUUUGAAGUAAUGUAGAGUGUAUAUAUUUUUUCCCCUUUAUAUUUUUAGGGGAGUACCUAUGCACACUGCAAAGCUGGCAUCUCACCAGUUCAUUGAUUGACAUUUUGAAUUAAUGUUCUAAGAAUUGUGAUUUUAUAUGUUAGAGUGAGCUGACUGAUCUUGUCAGUCGUUUGCUGUCUCAACGGGCUUGUCAGCAGACGACAGAUUUGUAUGUUUUUUGCUCCAAAGAUGAAGUGGUGUUUGAACACCCAGUCCGAGCGAACGUCUCCUCCUUUACCAGUGUAAAUAAUAGUGGGCUGGAGGUAGGCGUUUUUGUUUCAGCCUUUUGUGACAUAAUACAACUCUGUUUUACCGUGGACAGUUCCGUGUAAAAACUAAGACGAGGACAAAUGAUACGUAAUAUUAAUGCUCUGACUAUCCACUAAAGAUGGUUUCUUCAGCCAUUGUCCCAACUUUGACCCUUCCAGCUUGAUAAUUCUGCUCCAGCCUGGGGUAUAUUCAGUGAGGUGAAACAUUCACAACAUUGCAGUUAAAAAUGUCAUGAAUAGAGCUGACAUGAUUUCUAUUCAUUAUGACAUAGCUGUGCUAUGAAAUUAAUUUCUGUCUGAAAGUUCUGUAAAAUGUCACCCUCCUGAACAUACUUGUUGCAUUCAGCGACUGCUUUUAAAAAAAAAUUCUGUGCUCAUGUCUGUGUUUGUAACAGACCGUCUGGCCAAUAUACAGCAGGUUGCAGGGACACUGCUGUAAGCAUAUACCCCAAUGGUGAAUACAUACUCAGCUUUCUUUAGAAGUGGCCUGGAGUUGUUUCUGAAUUGUCGGGUGUGUGUAUGCAGUGGAAGUUUACAUAUACAGCCGUGGCCAAAAGUUUUGCGAAUGACACAUUCAUUUUCACAGUCUGCUGCCUCAGUUUGUAUGAUAGCAAUUUGCAUAUACUCCAGAAUGUUAUGAAGAGUGAUCAGAUGAAUUGUGAAGUCCCUCUUUGCCAUGCAAAUGAACUGAACCCCCAAAAAACAUUUCCACUGCAUUUCAGCCCUGCCACAAAAGGACCAGCUGACAUGUCAGUGAUUCUCUCGUUAACACAGGUGUGAGUGUUGACGAGGACAAGGCUGGAGAUCACUCUGUCAUGCUGAUAGUUUGAAUAACAGACUGGAAGCUUCAAAGGGAGGGUGGUGCUUGGAAUCAUUGUUCUUCCUCGGUCAACCAUGGUUACCUGCAAGGAAACACGUGCCGUCAUUGUUUUGCACAAAAAGGCUUCAUAGGCAAGGAUAUUGCUGCCAGUAAGAUUGUACCUAAAUCAACCAUUUAUCGGAUCAUCAAGAACUUCAAGGAGAGCGGUUCAAUUGUUGUGAAGAAGGCUCCAGGGCACCGAAGAAGUCCAGCAAGCGCCUCGACUUUCUCCUAAAGUUGAUUCAGCUGCGGGUUCGGGGCACCACCAGCACAGAGCUUGCUCAGGAAUGGCAGCAGGCAGGUGUGAGUGCAUCUGCACGCACAGUGAGGCAAAGACUUUUGUAGGAUGGCCUGGUGUCAAGAAGGGCAGCAAAGAAGCCACUUCUCUCCAGGAAAAACAUCAGGGAUAGAAUGAUAUUCUGCAAACGGUACAGGAAUUGGACUGCUGAGGACUGGGGUAAAAUCAUUUUCUCUGAUGAAUCCCCUUUUCAAUUGUUUGGGGCAUCUGGAAAAAAGCUUGUCCGGAAAAGACAAGGUGAGCGCUACCAUCAGUCCUGUGUCAUGCCAACAGUAAAGCAUCCUGAGACCAUUCAUGUGUGGGGUUGCUCACAAUUUUGCCUAAGAACACAGCCAUAAAGAAUGGUACAAACACAUCCUCCGAGAGCAGUUUCUCCCAACAAUCCAGGAACAGUUUGGUGACGAACUGUAUGAUGGAGCAACUUGCUAUAAGGCAAAAGUAAUAACUAAGUGGCCCGGGGAACAAAACAUCGAUAUUUUGGGUCCAUGGCCAGGAAACUCCCCAGACCUUAAUCCCAUUGAAGUUGUGGUCAAUCCUCAAGAGGCGGGUGGACAAACAAAACCCCACAAAUUUGGACAAACUCCAAGCAUUUCUUAUGCAAGAAUGGGCUGCCAUCAGUCAGGAUGUGGCCCAGAAGUUAAUUGACAGCAUUCCAGGGCAGAUUGCAGAGGUCUUGAAAAACAAGGGUCAACACUGCAAAUAUUGACUCUUGCAUCAACUUCAUGUAAUUGUCAAUAAAAGCAUUUGACACUUAUGAAAUACUUGUAAUUAUACUUCAGUAUUCCAUAGUAACAUCUGACAAAAAUAUCUGAAGACACUGAAGCAGCAAACUUUGUGGAAAUUAAUAUUUGUGUCGUUCUCAAAACUUUUGUCCACGACUGUACUUUGGUUGGUGUCAUUAAAACUAGUUUUUCAACCACUCCCACAAAUUUCUUGUUAACAAACUGUCGUUUUUGCAAGUCGGUUAGGACAUCUACUUUGCAUGACAAGUAAUUUUUCAAACAAUUGUUUUGUCAGAUCAUUUCACUUAUAAUUCACUGUAUCACAAUUCCAGUGGGCCAGACGUUUACAUACACUAAAUUGACUGCCUUUUUUAAACAGCUUGGAAGAUUCCAGAAAAGUAUGUCAUGGCUCUAGAAGCUUCUGAUAGGCUAAUUGACAUAAUUUGAGUCAAUUGGAGGUUUACCUGUGGAUGUAUUUCAAGGCCUACCUUCAAACUCAGUGCCUCUUUGCUUGACAUCAUGGGAAAAUCAAAAGAAAUCAGCCAAUAGUUUCUAAACGCCUGAAAGUACCACGUUCAUCUCUACAAACAAUAGUAUGCAAGUAUAAACACCAUGGGACAACACAGCUGUCAUAACGCUCAGGAAGGAGAUGUGUUCUGUCUCCUAGACAUUAACGUACUUUGGUGCAGAAAGUGCAAAUCAAUCCCAGAAGAACAGAAAAGGACUUUGUGAAGAUGCUGGAGGAAACGGGUACUAAAGUAUCUAUAUCCACAGUAGAAUGAGUCCAAUAUCGACAAACUGAAAGGCCGCUCAGCAAGGAAGAAGCCACUGCUCCAAAACCGCCAUAAAAUAGCCAGACUAUGGUUUGCAACUGUACAUGGGGACAAAGAUCAUACUUUUUGGAGAAAUGUGCUCUGGUCUGAUGAAACAAAAAUAGAACUGUUUGGCCAUAAUGACCAUUGUUAUGUUUGGAGGAAAAGGGGGAUGCUUGCAAGCCGAAGAACACCAUCCCAACCGUGAAGCAUGGUAGUGGCGGCAGCAUGUUGUGGGGGUGCUUUGCUGCAGGAUGGACUGGUGCACUUCACAAUGCAGAUGGCAUCAUGAGGGAGGGAAGUUGUGGAUCUAUUGAAGCAACAUCUCAAGACAUCAGUAAGGAAGUUAAAGCUUGGUCGCAAAUGGGUUUUCCAAAUGGACAAUGACCCCAAGCAUACUUCCAAAGUUGUGGCAAAAUGACUUAAGGACAACAAAGUCAAGUUAUUGGAGUGGCCAUCGCAAAGCCCUGACCUCAUUUCCAUAAACAUUUUGUGGGCAGAAAAACUAUAGAAGCAUGUACUAGGAAGGAGGCCUACAAACCUGACUCAGUUACACCAGCUCUGUCAGGAGUAAUGGGCCAAAAUUCACCCAACUUAUUGUGGGAAGCUUGUGGAAGGCUACCUGAAACAUUUGACCCAAGUUAAAUAAUUUAAAGGCAAUGCUACCAAAUACUAAUUCAGUGUAUGUGAUGAAAGAAAUAAAAGCUGAAAUAAAUCAUUUUCUCUACUUUUAUUCUGAUAUUUCACAUUCAUAAAAUAAAGUUGUGAUGCUAACUGACCUAAAAUGGGGACAUUUUUUAGUAGGAUUAAAUGUCAGGGAUUGUGAAAACUGAGUUUAAAUGUAUUUGGCUAAGGUGUAUGUAAACUUCCGACUUCAACUGUGUGUGUGUGUGUGUCUGUUGAUUAUGUAAGAUUUCUCUCUGGUUAUGGAAUAACUGCUGAAGGACUUCAAAUAAAUACAUUUAUGAACAUG